UACGUAGGGGGCAAGCGUUAUCCAGAUUUACUGGGCGUAAAGCGCGUGUAGGCGGCUGGUUAGGCGUGAUGUGAAAUCUUCCGGCUCAACCGGAAAACUGCAUUGCGAACCGGCCUGGCUAGAGUGCAGGAGAGGGAAGCGGAAUUCCCGGUGUAGCGGUGGAAUGCGUAGAGAUCGGGAAGAACAUCGGUGGCGAAGGCGGUCUGCUGGGCCGUUGCUGACGCUGAGGCGCGACAGCGU
rnacentral:rRNA from 1 species